UUUAUUCUGGAGUGUUGGCUAGUGGAUGUUAUUCCCUGAGCCGAUAACGUUAUACCUGGAUACGCUACCUAUUGCUUCAUUGUGUAUGCCUGCACCGCUUGCGGUGUUUCAGGAAACCUACCGAGGUGAUGACGUAUCCGCCCUGAACUUCACGGUUCAUGGGUCACCAUCUUACGGCGGCACUCCGGUUGUUAA
rnacentral:other from 1 species